GACGAACCGUGCGAACGUUGUUCGGAAUCACUGGGCUUAAAGGGCGCGUAGGCGGGCUGUCAAGUCCGGGGUGAAAUCCUCCCGCUCAACGGGAGAACGGCCUCGGAUACUGAUGGUCUCGAGGAGGAUAGGGGCACACGGAACUGUGGGUGGAGCGGUGAAAUGCGUUGAUAUCCAUAGGAACUCCGGUGGCGAAAGCGGUGUGCUGGAUCCUUUCUGACGCUGAUGCGCGAAAGCCAGGGGAGCAAACGGG
rnacentral:rRNA from 1 species